rnacentral:rRNA from 1 species
CGUAGGGUGCAAGCGUUAAUCGGAAUUACUGGGCGUAAAGCGUGCGCAGGCGGUUUGGUAAGACAGAUGUGAAAUCCCCGGGCUUAACCUGGGAAUUGCAUUUGUGACUGCCCGGCUAGAGUUUGGCAGAGGGGGGUAGAAUUCCACGUGUAGCAGUGAAAUGCGUAGAUAUGUGGAGGAAUACCGAUGGCGAAGGCAGCCCCCUGGGUCAAGACUGACGCUCAUGCACGAAAGCGUGGGGAGCAAACAGGAUUAGAUACCCUGGUAGUCCACGCCCUAAACGAUGUCCACUAGUUGUCGGGUCUUAAUGGACUUGGUAACGCAGCUAACGCGUGAAGUAGACCGCCUGGGGAGUACGGUCGCAAGAUUA